rnacentral:misc_RNA from 1 species
UUUCCGUAGGUGAACCUGCGGAAGGAUCAUUAAUGUGUUUGGGCCUCACGGCUCUUCAUUUCGACGCUGUGCGCCUUCGGGCUGCACGCUGAGGGAGCAUAUAUCCACCCCUGUGCACACACACGGUGGCGAGCUGGGUAACGGCUCGCCGCUGAUCUUUACACACGUCUAAAAGUCAUUGUAUGUUUAUUUGAGAUAAAAACACAACUUUCAGCAACGGAUCUCUUGGCUCUC